rnacentral:ncRNA from 20 species
UUACCCUUGCGCGCUGAUGGUUCCCGGAGACGGGAUCAAAAGGGAACGCAGGCGAGGCAACGCCUCGAAGCUGCGGCUGCCCCCGCAACUGUGAGCGGCGAAUCCGUGCCACCGCAUGCCACUGGGAAACCGGGAAGGCCCGCACGGACGACGACCCGCGAGCCAGGAGACCUGCCAUCGACCCGAGGUCCAGC